rnacentral:tRNA from 1 species
GGCCGAGUGGUUAGGCGAUGGACUAGAAAUCCAUUGGGGUCUCCCCGCACAGGUUCGAAUCCUGUCGACUGGG